rnacentral:rRNA from 1 species
GAUGAACGCUAGCUACAGGCUUAACACAUGCAAGUCGAGGGGCAGCAUGGUCUUAGCUUGCUAAGGCCGAUGGCGACCGGCGCACGGGUGAGUAACACGUAUCCAACCUGCCGUCUACUCUUGGACAGCCUUCUGAAAGGAAGAUUAAUACAAGAUGGCAUCAUGAGUUCACAUGUUCACAUGAUUAAAGGUAUUCCGGUAGACGAUGGGGAUGCGUUCCAUUAGAUAGUAGGCGGGGUAACGGCCCACCUAGUCUUCGAUGGAUAGGGGUUCUGAGAGGAAGGUCCCCCACAUUGGAACUGAGAUACGGUCCAAACUCCUACGGGAGGCAGCAGUGAGGGAUAUUGGUCAAUGGGCGAGAGCCUGAACCAGCCAAGUAGCGUGAAGGAUGACUGCCCUAUGGGUUGUAAACUUCUUUUAUAAAGGAAUAAAGUCGGGUAUGUAUACCCGUUUGCAUGUACUUUAUGAAUAAGGAUCGGCUAACUCCGUG